AACGAACGCUGGCGGCAUGCCUAACACAUGCAAGUCGAACGAGACCUUCGGGUCUAGUGGCGCACGGGUGCGUAACGCGUGGGAAUCUGCCCUUGGGUUCGGAAUAACAGUUAGAAAUGACUGCUAAUACCGGAUAAUGUCUUCGGACCAAAGAUUUAUCGCCCAGGGAUGAGCCCGCGUAGGAUUAGCUAGUUGGUGAGGUAAAGGCUCACCAAGGCGACGAUCCUUAGCUGGUCUGAGAGGAUGAUCAGCCACACUGGGACUGAGACACGGCCCAGACUCCUACGGGAGGCAGCAGUGGGGAAUAUUGGACAAUGGGCGAAAGCCUGAUCCAGCAAUGCCGCGUGAGUGAUGAAGGCCUUAGGGUUGUAAAGCUCUUUUACCCGGGA
rnacentral:rRNA from 1 species